GCUCUCGCAGCCUAGCGGUUAGCGCUGCCGUUUUGAAAACAAGCAUCGCGGGUUCAAACCCCGCUCGGGCCA